GCUCAGGACGAACGCUGGCGGCGUGCCUAAUACAUGCAAGUCGAACGAACUCUGGUAUUGAUUGGUGCUUGCAUCAUGAUUUACAUUUGAGUGAGUGGCGAACUGGUGAGUAACACGUGGGAAACCUGCCCAGAAGCGGGGGAUAACACCUGGAAACAGAUGCUAAUACCGCAUAACAACUUGGACCGCAUGGUCCGAGCUUGAAAGAUGGCUUCGGCUAUCACUUUUGGAUGGUCCCGCGGCGUAUUAGCUAGAUGGUGGGGUAACGGCUCACCAUGGCAAUGAUACGUAGCCGACCUGAGAGGGUAAUCGGCCACAUUGGGACUGAGACACGGCCCAAACUCCUACGGGAGGCAGCAGUAGGGAAUCUUCCACAAUGGACGAAAGUCUGAUGGAGCAACGCCGCGUGAGUGAAGAAGGGUUUCGGCUCGUAAAACUCUGUUGUUAAAGAAGAACAUAUCUGAGAGUAACUGUUCAGGUAUUGACGGUAUUUAACCAGAAAGCCACGGCUAACUACGUGCCAGCAGCCGCGGUAAUACGUAGGUGGCAAGCGUUGUCCGGAUUUAUUGGGCGUAAAGCGAGCGCAGGCGGUUUUUUAAGUCUGAUGUGAAAGCCUUCGGCUCAACCGAAGAAGUGCAUCGGAAACUGGGAAACUUGAGUGCAGAAGAGGACAGUGGAACUCCAUGUGUAGCGGUGAAAUGCGUAGAUAUAUGGAAGAACACCAGUGGCGAAGGCGGCUGUCUGGUCUGUAACUGACGCUGAGGCUCGAAAGUAUGGGUAGCAAACAGGAUUAGAUACCCUGGUAGUCCAUACCGUAAACGAUGAAUGCUAAGUGUUGGAGGGUUUCCGCCCUUCAGUGCUGCAGCUAACGCAUUAAGCAUUCCGCCUGGGGAGUACGGCCGCAAGGCUGAAACUCAAAGGAAUUGACGGGGGCCCGCACAAGCGGUGGAGCAUGUGGUUUAAUUCGAAGCUACGCGAAGAACCUUACCAGGUCUUGACAUACUAUGCAAAUCUAAGAGAUUAGACGUUCCCUUCGGGGACAUGGAUACAGGUGGUGCAUGGUUGUCGUCAGCUCGUGUCGUGAGAUGUUGGGUUAAGUCCCGCAACGAGCGCAACCCUUAUUAUCAGUUGCCAGCAUUAAGUUGGGCACUCUGGUGAGACUGCCGGUGACAAACCGGAGGAAGGUGGGGAUGACGUCAAAUCAUCAUGCCCCUUAUGACCUGGGCUACACACGUGCUACAAUGGAUGGUACAACGAGUUGCGAACUCGCGAGAGUAAGCUAAUCUCUUAAAGCCAUUCUCAGUUCGGAUUGUAGGCUGCAACUCGCCUACAUGAAGUCGGAAUCGCUAGUAAUCGCGGAUCAGCAUGCCGCGGUGAAUACGUUCCCGGGCCUUGUACACACCGCCCGUCACACCAUGAGAGUUUGUAACACCCAAAGUC
rnacentral:rRNA from 2 species